UGCGUAGGCGGCGCUAUAAGUCAGAGGUGAAAGGCCACAGCUUAACUGUGGGACUGCCUUUGAUACUGUAGUGCUUGAAUUAGGUUGAGGUCGGCGGAAUGUGACAUGUAGCGGUGAAAUGCUUAGGUAUGUCAUAGAACACCAAUUGCGAAGGCAGCUGACUAGACCUUAAUUGACGCUGAGGCACGAAAGCGUGGGGAGCGAACAGGAUUAGAUACCCUGGUAGUC
rnacentral:rRNA from 1 species